AGAUGCUGAGAUGUUUGGGGACAGCCAGGCAACCUCAGCACGAAGCCUCGGAUGCCUCACCUGAGCUCCUGUUUCUUCUCCAGCUGUAAUUUUGCAGGUCCUUCUAGUUGUGGCAUAUGUGACACCGCCUCAACGUGGCCUGAUGAGCGGUGCCAUGUCUGCGCCCAGGAUCCGAACCAGUGAAACCCUGCGCAGCCGUAGCAGAGUGCACGAACUUAACCACUCGGCCACGGGGCUGGCCCCGAAAACCCAUUCUUGACAAAAUACUCCCAGCUCCCUCCAAGAGGCACAUCAGGACAGCACAUCUGUCAGGCCCAGUGAACUUCUCAGGACGACGCUACACGAAGGGCUAUGGACUAGAGGGCCGGAUGACCUUGGUUCUAGUUCCAGAUAUGUCACUUACUAAGCUGAGGCCUGGGUUAGUCAUUUAGCCUCUCAAGCCUCAGUUUCCUCAUCUUUAAAAUGCAGAUAAAAAUACCCACUUUGCACACCUUCCAAGGUGAGUGGGGAUCAAAUAAGAUCAUAUGAAAGCUCUUUGUAAACACUGUUAAACAUAUUUCUACAUCCCAAACCUUGGGGAAGCCAGUUAUGGCAUAGUCCAGA
rnacentral:lncRNA from 1 species